rnacentral:rRNA from 1 species
AUGAACGCUAGCUACAGGCUUAACACAUGCAAGUCGAGGGGCAGCAUGAACUUAGCUUGCUAAGUUUGAUGGCGACCGGCGCACGGGUGAGUAACACGUAUCCAACCUGCCGAUGACUCGGGGAUAGCCUUUCGAAAGAAAGAUUAAUACCCGAUGGCAUAGUUCUUCCGCAUGGUGGAACUAUUAAAGAAUUUCGGUCAUCGAUGGGGAUGCGUUCCAUUAGGUUGUUGGCGGGGUAACGGCCCACCAAGCCUUCGAUGGAUAGGGGUUCUGAGAGGAAGGUCCCCCACAUUGGAACUGAGACACGGUCCAAACUCCUACGGGAGGCAGCAGUGAGGAAUAUUGGUCAAUGGACGAGAGUCUGAACCAGCCAAGUAGCGUGAAGGAUGACUGCCCUAUGGGUUGUAAACUUCUUUUAUACGGGAAUAAAGUGAGGCACGUGUGCCUUUUUGUAUGUACCGUAUGAAUAAGGAUCGGCUAACUCCGUGCCAGCAGCCGCGGUAAUACGGAGGAUCCGAGCGUUAUCCGGAUUUAUUGGGUUUAAAGGGAGCGUAGGCGGACGCUUAAGUCAGUUGUGAAAGUUUGCGGCUCAACCGUAAAAUUGCAGUUGAUACUGGGUGUCUUGAGUACAGUAGAGGCAGGCGGAAUUCGUGGUGUAGCGGUGAAAUGCUUAGAUAUCACGAAGAACUCCGAUUGCGAAGGCAGCUUGCUGGACUGUAACUGACGCUGAUGCUCGAAAGUGUGGGUAUCAAACAGGAUUAGAUACCCUGGUAGUCCACACAGUAAACGAUGAAUACUCGCUGUUUGCGAUAUACAGUAAGCGGCCAAGCGAAAGCGUUAAGUAUUCCACCUGGGGAGUACGCCGGCAACGGUGAAACUCAAAGGAAUUGACGGGGGCCCGCACAAGCAGUGGAGUAUGUGGUUUAAUUCGAAGCAACGCGAAGAACCUUACCAGGGCUUGACAUAUACAGGAAUACUUGAGGAAACUUAAGUAGCUCUUCGGAGUCUGUAUACAGGUGGUGCAUGGUUGUCGUCAGCUCGUGUCGUGAGAUGUUGGGUUAAGUCCCGCAACGAGCGCAACCCCUGUGAUUAGUUACUAACAAGUUAAGUUGAGGACUCUAAUCAGACUGCCGGUGAUAAACCGGAGGAAGGUGGGGAUGACGUCAAAUCAGCACGGCCCUUACGUCCGGGGCUACACACGUGUUACAAUGGGGGGUACAGAAGGCAGCUACACGGCGACGUGAUGCUAAUCCCUAAAGCCUCUCUCAGUUCGGAUUGGAGUCUGCAACCCGACUCCAUGAAGCUGGAUUCGCUAGUAAUCGCGCAUCAGCCACGGCGCGGUGAAUACGUUCCCGGGCCUUGUACACACCGCCCGUCACACCAUGGGAGUUGGUAACGCCCGAAGUCAGUGACCCAACCGCAAGGAGGGAGCUGCCGAAGGUGGGAUAAGCGACUGGGGUG